rnacentral:rRNA from 1 species
CCUACGGGAGGCAGCAGUGAGGAAUAUUGGUCAAUGGCCGAGAGGCUGAACCAGCCAAGUCGCGUGAGGGAUGACGGCCCUACGGGUUGUAAACCUCUUUUGUCGGGGAGCAAAGUGAAUCACGUGUGACGCAUUGAGAGUACCCGAAGAAAAAGCAUCGGCUAACUCCGUGCCAGCAGCCGCGGUAAUACGGAGGAUGCGAGCGUUAUCCGGAUUUAUUGGGUUUAAAGGGUGCGCAGGCGGAGGUGCAAGUCAGCGGUCAAAUUGCGGGGCUCAACCCCGUACUGCAGUUGAAACUGCAUGCCUUGAGUACGCGAGAGGUAGGCGGAAUGCGUGGUGUAGCGGUGAAAUGCAUAGAUAUCACGAAGAACUCCGAUUGCGAAGGCAGCAUACCGGCGCGCAACUGACGCUGAUGCACGAAAGCGUGGGUAUCGAACAGGAUUAGAUACCCGAGUAGUC